UGGCAGGUGGUCAGGCAUUAUUAUGGCCAUCAAAACACCCACUUGUUGAUAUUUAUUUAUUUAUUUUCAACAAGUAUCUUUGUUCUCUAAGAAUGGAGUUUCAAAAAGGGUUGUCAAGAUCAACAAAUGUUACUUCACAUGAUGCAGAGGCAGGCUUGAUUCUGGAAUGAUGAACCCACGGGGUGAUCUCUGUAUCUUUCACGGUGCACUACUCAGCAUGUGGUCUUGGUUAUCACUUUGGUGGCUGGAUAGGCCUCUGGCCAUCCUGAAAACAUGUCUGCUAUAAUUAGUGCAUAUUUGAAUCAGCCAUUCUUUGGCAUUCUGGCGACUUGACUCCUCUGGAAGAGAUAAUGAGGUUUGGCUAGAUACUUGGGGCUUUCAUCCAUUCUUCUUGAGUUGCCCUUGGCACAAAUGGCACAAGAUUUACAGUAACUGUUGGUCAGAGAGGCAAUUCCUGGUACUUCAGAGUAUUUAUUGAUCAAAAGAGUUCAUGAGGGUUCUGGACAGAUGCUCCGUAGGCCCACUGGACCACUGCUGAGUAUAUGUUCUUGGGCAAGUAUAACUUGAGAUUGUUGAAGUACAGCCUGUCUUUAAGAGUUGCCCCUUUCUGUUUCCAGCUUGUGGUUUGUUUGUUUUUUCUUUCUUUCCAGGGUCAGUAGCUUGCUUGUUAUUCCUUCGGGAGCUUGAUGUCUGUGGGUAGGAUCUUAC